rnacentral:lncRNA from 1 species
CACCAAAUCGCUCAAGUAGUAAUACCGGUAAGACCGAAUAUCGUUUCCCAAGAGACUUCGUUAUUACUCUACUAUCGUAUAAUUACAAACUAAUUUAAACUAAAGAAUGAUUCCAUUUUUUGUUUGAUAUUGUGCAAUGAAAGUAAAAGUUAUGCUUAAAUAAAAGUUUGAACUACUCGGGGCCAAAACACGUGCAAAAUGAGAUGAUUAACGAAUAUGUGGGAUGAAUAUGUUGGAGAAUGAUUUCAACUAAUUCCAUACUAUGCAAAUGUACUACACCACUCUUCAAUUACUUGUUCUUGUCAACUAGCUAAAUCACUAAAACUCAAUCCCUUGGUGAGAUAGCCUAGGUUCAUUUACUACAUCCCAAUCCCUUGGUAAUCCAACAAACUCACCCG